GGCCUUGUUUAGGAGGGGCGGUGGGCAAAGCAUAAAAGAUCCCUUUGUGCAUGUCUCCCUCUAGAACCCGGGCACAUUCCAGAGCUUCUCUUGGACACUGCCGUCCCUCUCUACUCCUCCGAGGCCCCCGGUGGCCCCUCUGUCCCCUGCCCACAGUCCCCACGGGACCUCCCGGAAGCCGCGGCUGAGUCACGGGGCCAAAUAGAAUCCCUCCAAAUCUCAACGGCCUCAGAGGGUGAGGAUAAAGAGGAUGAGGAACAGCGAUGGGAAAGAGAGAGAAAAGAAAGGCAAGAAGUGAGGCGACGGGAGCAAGAGGAGGCCAGAGAGAGAGAACAACAGGAAGCGGAGAGACUGGAGAAAGAAACUCUUUUGCGACAACAACAACAACAGGAGGAGGAGGAGGAGGAGGCAAGGAAAAAUGAGGAAGGAGAUUGGGACAAGACGCAGGAAGCACAAGUCCCGAGUGAAAAUCCCUUGGAGAAAUACAUGAAGAUGGUUUUGAAAGCCAGAGA